AUCUGCUCAGUAACACGUGGUUAACCUGCCCUAAGGUGGAGAAUACUCCCGGGAAACUGGGGCUAAUGCUCCAUAGUGGAUAUGUCCUGGAAUGGUAUAUCCUCGAAAGAUCCGUCGCCUUAGGAUGGGACUGCGUCCGAUUAGGUUGUUGGCGGGGUAACGGCCCACCAAGCCAUUGAUCGGUACGGGUUGUGGGAGCAAGAUCCCGGAGAUGGAUUCUGAGACAUGAAUCCAGGCCCUACGGGGCGCAGCAGGCGCGCAAACUUUACAAUGCGAGCAAUCGUGAUAAGGAAACCCUGAGUGCCUGUCGAUGCAGGCCGUUCAUAUAUCUAAAUCAUAUGUGAAGAAAGGGCAGGGCAAGACCGGUGCCAGCAGCCGCGGUAAUAC
rnacentral:rRNA from 1 species